UCCGGUUUGUCACCGGCAGUCUCCUUAGAGUUCCCGGCAUAACCCGCUGGCAAAUAAGGAUAAGGGUUGCGCUCGUUACGGGACUUAACCCAACAUCUCACGACACGAGCUGACGACAGCCAUGCAGCACCUGUCACCCGGUUCCCGAAGGCACCCUCCCAUCUCUGGGAGGUUCCGGGGAUGUCAAGGGGUGGUAAGGUUCUUCGCGUUGCAUCGAAUUAAACAACAUGCUCCACCGCUUGUGCGGGCCCCCGUCAAUUCAUUUGAGUUUUAGCCUUGCGGCCGUACUCCCCAGGCGGAGAACUUAUCGCGUUAGCUGCGCCACUAAGGAGUCAAGCUCCCCAACGGCUAGUUCUCAUCGUUUACGGCGUGGACUAC
rnacentral:misc_RNA from 1 species